CUACGGGACGCAGCAGUGGGGAAUAUUGGACAAUGGGGGAAACCCUGAUCCAGCAAUGCCGCGUGUGUGAAGAAGGCCUGCGGGUUGUAAAGCACUUUCGGUUGGGAGGACUGCUUCUAGCACUAAUAUUGUUGGAAGUUGACGUUACCUUCAGAAGAAGCACCGGCUAACUCCGUGCCAGCAGCCGCGGUAAUACGGGAGGGUGCAAGCGUUAAUCGGAAUUACUGGGCGUAAAGCGCGCGUAGGCGGCUAGAUCAGUCGGGUGUGAAAGCCCCGGGCUUAACCUGGGAACUGCAUCCGAUACUGUCUAGCUUGAGUACAGGAGAGGAGAGUGGAAUUCCACAUGUAGCGGUGAAAUGCGUAGAUAUGUGGAGGCACACCAAUGGCGAAGGCAGCUCUCUGGCCUGAUACUGACGCUGAGGUGCGAAAGCGUGGGGAGCAAACAGGAUUAGAUACCCCUGUAGUC
rnacentral:rRNA from 1 species